GAUGAACGCUGGCGGCGUGCCUAAUACAUGCAAGUCGAGCGAACAGACGAGGAGCUUGCUCCUCUGACGUUAGCGGCGGACGGGUGAGUAACACGUGGAUAUCCUACCUAUAAGACUGGGAUAACUUCGGGAAACCGGAGCUAAUACCGGAUAAUAUAUUGAACCGCAUGGUUCAAUAGUGAAAGACGGUUUUGCUGUCACUUAUAGAUGGAUCCGCGCCGCAUUAGCUAGUUGGUAAGGUAACGGCUUACCAAGGCAACGAUGCGUAGCCGACCUGAGAGGGUGAUCGGCCACACUGGAACUGAGACACGGUCCAGACUCCUACGGGAGGCAGCAGUAGGGAAUCUUCCGCAAUGGGCGAAAGCCUGACGGAGCAACGCCGCGUGAGUGGUGAAGGUCUUCGGAUCGUAAAACUCUGUUAUUAGGGAAGAACAAAUGUGUAAGUAACUAUGCACGUCUUGACGGUACCUAAUCAGAAAGCCACGGCUAACUACGUG
rnacentral:rRNA from 1 species